rnacentral:lncRNA from 1 species
UGGUGGCGAAGGCGAUGGUGGUGGUGGAGGUGAAGAUGAAGGAGGCGAAGGUGAUGGCGGCGGCGGCGAAGGACAUGGUUGAGGAGGUGGCGGCGGUGGUGGAGGAGGAGGUGGUGGUGGAAAAAAUUUGGAUGAAAUUUUUUUGUAAAAAAUUUUUUUUUUCUUCUUAUUUUCACUAUUUUCAAAAAAAGUGGUAGUAUUUUUGCCUUAUUUUUAUUUAUAAAUAGCAAAAUGAAUAUUUUUUUUAUUUAAAAAAUCUUUGAAAGUAAUGGUUGAGAAUCUGUGAAGAAAUAUGAUGGAUGCACAUUUUUUUUAUAAUUUGGUAUCCGGCUCAAAUGAUCGAUUAAUCUGAAUCCAAUCAUAUCUUCUAUCAGCGAGGGACCCAAUUAAAAACAGUGCAAAAUUCCUUGUGACCUGGCCCCAAAAGUUACUAAUAUGAAAAUUUGAACCUAUUUAUAAUUGAUCAAUAUAGUUAUUCUACUUAUAUAAUUAAUAAUAUAGAACCAUAAUGAAUAACUUGAAAUCCUAUUUCUUUCUUAUGAUAUCUCUGAGAUACAAAUAUCAAUCAAAAUAUCCUUUUUUUUUUUGAUAAACCUCCCUUUUUAUUUCAUUUUUCGUUUGGAUUGCAAAUUGUACGGUCCAACUAAUUCCUCGCAAGUAUAAAUUUAGAGCACAUUCCAUUGUUUUAUCAUAGCACAAUGUAAUGACAGUAUUUGGUAUUGCUGAACUUAUGUUUAAAUUGUUUAUUUAAAAGUAAAAAUCGGAAAGCUUCAAAAUGGAGAUUUCAAUAAUUAGCUAUUUUUAAAUUUUAUAAGUUAUUUUUGGUUCAUAAACAGAAGCAGAAGUUGUGUCAAACACUACAACACAACUUUCAAAUAAAAAAAUAAAAAAUUACUAUCAAAAAGCUUUGUCAAACAUGCACGAUAUUCACUUGCGAUUAUUUAGUGGUCUUGGAGCAUGCCUCAGACCCCUUGUAAAAAUCACACAUUAAGGCUCCGUUUGGUAAUGUUUAAAAAUCAAGUUUUUUUUGAACUUGUUAUCAAAAGAGUCAUUUUUUUUGGCUUUUUUGCUUUUUUUUAACUAAAAAUAAAUAAAAAGGCAAAAACAAAAAAACAAAAAAAUUAAUUCUAACUGACUUUUUUUGUUUAUAAACUUAAAAAAAACAAACUAAAAAACUGAUACCAAACAUAGCCUAAAUAUUGAACCUGCCACUAAGUAUGUUGAUCCACGCGAAGAAAAUUGAAUAAUUGUUCAAUAAUUACUUUUUACUCAUAUGACACUUAAUACAGAAAACAAAUGAGUGCAUGUUGUGACACCAUCCUAUAUGAUGUUAUUGGCUAAUAAAAGAUCGUACAAGGUUUUGAUGCGAUGAGUUUGUUAUUAACCUGAUUUAAUAAAUGGAUUGGGCUUGGAAAUUUCUCUCCUAAGUCUAGUUUGGCCCAUCCCAACCUAGCCUGUGUGUAGUAUUGCUAUUAAUUAGUAAAAAUAAUAAAGAAUUUGAACAUUCUGAUUAUUUGAAAAAUAUACUUUGUGAUUUUGAAAUAUUGUAUUGUGUUAUUGAAAUGUGAUGACUACCGCAACGAAUUUGACAUACAUUGAUCAAACAUACAUAAUACAAUUUUUUAGGGUAUUUAUAUAUAUCAAAUUUUGGGGAGUGGGGGGUUUGUGCAUCUACAUUUUAGGACUGCAUGAGUGCAUGAAGGGGCGGAUCAUAGUUAUCCACAGAAACGAACCGGUGAUUGCCGGUCAAGUAUCGGUUUAAUGGUUCAUUUGUUCACCGUGGUUCAACCUGUUAUAUAAUAAUAAUAAUAAAAAUAUAUUUUAAAUAGAAAAUAAUCAUUACAAAUUAUCAAUGGGAUAAAAGACUCUUUUUUUUGAUACAAUAAUUCAACAUAAGUAUCCAUAAUAAUACCUAUAAAAGAAAAGUACUAAAAAUAUAUAAUUAUAAAUAUUUAAGAUGAUUUUUUUUUCAAUUUUAUAUUUUUAACUAAUUACUUAUUGCUAUUUUUUAUUAAAAAUAAAAAACGUCAUUUUCAUAAUGUCAUUAAUUAAGAUAAUAAUGUGCAUUAUUUGUGUUUGUCUUUUAUUUUUUUAUUUUUUCUUUCUUCCUAUACUUUUCUAUUUUUAUCUUUAUUUUUUAUUUUAUUUUUUAUUUUAUAUUAGAUUAUUUUUUGAUAAUACGUAUCUCAAUAUAUCUAAUUAUAAUAUAAUAAAUUUUAAAGAUAGUGAUUUUGUACAAUUUUUUUAAUUGGUCAGCUCAUUUUUUUAUUUUUAUUAAAAUAAAGUUUAAAAAAAUUAACUAGCUAAAUAAAAUAACCAAAUCAAAACCAAAAAACCCAAAAAUAAAAAUUAAAAACCACUAGGCCCUAAAUAUUUGUUGUUUUUAAAAAUAUUUGUGUUUUUUUUUCUUUUUUUACUUUUUUUGUUUUCUAAAAACCGGCCGGUUCAUCAUCUAAAUCCGGCCGGUUCAAUGUUUUUUAAAAUACUCGCCAGUUCGGGCGGUUCAAUCCGGUUUCAUAUGCAUUUUUCUGUAUUUAAUUGAAACCGUCCCGGUUCAUCAACUCACUGUCCGGUUCCUGGUUCACCCGGUUGAACCGGCCCGAUUCGGUUGAUUUUUAUAAACUAUGGGGUCGGUCUAUGAAGGGUCAGGGCACGUGCCCCCCCUCAGAUUUAAAAAAAUAAAAUUAGCCUAUCGGUGUAGAUUUUAAGCCACGGUAAGGAUAAAAAAAA